rnacentral:rRNA from 1 species
CCCUUAGAUGUCCUGGGCCGCACGCGCGCUACACUGACACACGCAACGAGUUUUGCUUGUCCGAAAGGUCUGGCUAAUCUUUUAAAUGUGUGUCGUGAUAGGGAUAGAUUAUUGCAAUUAUUAAUCUUGAACGAGGAAUUCCUAGUAAACGCAAGUCAUCAGCUUGCAUUGAUUACGUCCCUGCCCUUUGUACACACCGCCCGUCGCACCUACCGAUUGGAUGGUCCGAUGAGAUCUCCGGACUCGCGCUUGCAAGGCGGCAACGUCGCGCAGGAGCGGGGAAGUUGAUCAAAUCUUACCAUCUAGAGGAAGGUGAANUCGUAACA